GUAGGGAAUAUUGGACAAUGGGCGAAAGCCUGAUCCAGCCAUGCCGCGUGAUAGAUGAAGGCCCUCUGGGUUGUAAAUAUCUUUUAUCUGGGAAGAAACUCCUCUAUUCUUAGAGGCCUGACGGUACCAGAGGAAUAAGCACCGACUAACUCCGUGCCAGCAGCCGCGGUAAUACGGAGGGUGCAAGCGUUAUCCGGAUUCACUGGGUUUAAAGGGUGCGUAGGCGGGUUGAUAAGUCAGUGGUGAAAGCUCCGGGCUUAACUUGGAAACUGCCAUUGAUACUGUCAAACUUGAAUGUCGUAGAGGUAAGCGGAAUGUUGCAUGUAGCGGUGAAAUGCUUAGAUAUGUUACAGAACACCAAUUGCGAAGGCAGCUUACUAUGCGAUAAUUGACGCUGAGGCACGAAAGCGUGGGGAGCAAACAGGAUUAGAUACCCCAGUAGUCC
rnacentral:rRNA from 1 species